GACAGAGGGUGCAAACGUUGUUCGGAAUUACUGGGCGUAAAGCGCGUGUAGGCGGCUAAGUAAGUCGGGCGUGAAAUCCCACGGCUCAACCGUGGAAGUGCACUCGAAACUGCAUAGCUAGAGUCCUGGAGAGGAAGGUGGAAUGCUUGGUGUAGAGGUGAAAUUCGUAGAUAUUAGGAAGAACACCAGUGGCGAAGGCGGCUCACUGGAUCGGUACUGACGCUGAGGUGCGAAAGCGUGGGGAGCAAACAGG
rnacentral:rRNA from 1 species